CUCUAUGUUGAUUGAAAACAGAAACGGUAUAAAUUUCAAAAGUGUCCGCCGCUUCCUACGGCAUCCACAGGGUUAUCAUCCCUUUUCGGAGUUGAUACAGCUGUAGAGAACACAAUUAAAAUUAAUUGCUCUCAACUGAAGUUCCCUUUUUUCUAUGAUACAUAGACAUCGGAAUACUGCUGCAAAUUCUAAUUGCAACAUUAUCCUCAGUGAAUCCCAUCGAUUCCCAAAACAUCCCUUUCCUGAAGGCUUUGGAAGCCAUUACGGGCAUUCCAUAAGGACUCAAGUUCAUUGUUUUGCAUGAGGCAGAAUGCCAUGUUUUUUUCAUUAGACGUAUACACAAGGGAAAUUCGAUGCGGAUCCAACAGGUGUCCCAGGAAAGUAUUUCUCCAGCACAGCUAUGAAGUCAGAUGGAUUUAGGGGAAAUUGGCCGGGCUCCUCAAUACCUCUCAGCAUUCACAUCUGCAGCAGCUCUGUUCUCAGGUAUAUAGACGAUCGAAAAAUAAGAGCAAAAGAAAAACUGAACAUCAGUCUAUCCGGCACAACAAAGGCGAUUAGGAGACCUGCGGAGCACAAUACCUUCUCCUGAAUUGUUCCUUCUAAGAUAAAGUGAUAUUUCCAACACUUCUUAUUCCCACAAAGACCUUCACUGCGGGUUGCUUGAACAAUAGAAACGCUGAAAGUAAUACAGAUGCCUUACUGGUAAUACAACUUAUAACGCACA